rnacentral:rRNA from 1 species
UACGUAGGGGGCAAGCGUUGUCCGGAAUUACUGGGCGUAAAGGGCUCGUAGGCGGCCAACUAAGUCAGACGUGAAAUCCCUCGGCUUAACCGGGGAACUGCGUCUGAUACUGGAUGGCUUGAGUUUGGGAGAGGGACGCGGAAUUCCAGGUGUAGCGGUGAAAUGCGUAGAUAUCUGGAGGAACACCGGUGGCGAAGGCGGCAUCCUGGACCAACACUGACGCUGAGUGAGCGAAAGCCAGGGGAGCAAACGGG